UGUGGGAAUGAAUGAGAAGGGAGUCGCGUCGUAACCAGGAAGAAGAAGCUGAUUCGGAACAAAGGUUGAGCACGUUGUAGCGCAUAUUUAGUCAAUGACAUGUACACACAAUGAAAUUUCAUCCAUCCAUCCAUCCCUUUUCCGACUGAGGACCAUUGUUUCAGAUUUGGAGGUGCUGAUCUUCAUCCCAACCGCUUCACACUCGGCUGCGAAACGCUCCAGUGAGAGUUGGAGAGCCCUGUUUGAAGGAGCCAACAGCACCACAUCAUCUGCAAAAAGCAGGGAUGCAAUACU